rnacentral:rRNA from 1 species
GCAGCAACGCCGCGUGGAGGAUGACGCAUUUCGGUGCGUAAACUCCUUUUAUGAGGGAAGAUAAUGACGGUACCUCAUGAAUAAGCACCGGCUAACUCCGUGCCAGCAGCCGCGGUAAUA